rfam:Dipodomys ordii contig_70232, whole genome shotgun sequence.
GGUAGGUGGCUCAGUGAAAGAGUGCUUGCCUUGCAUGCAUGAGGCCCUAGGUUCGAUUCCUUAGUACCA